rnacentral:rRNA from 1 species
UACGGGGGGGGCAAGCGUUGUUCGGAAUUACUGGGCGUAAAGGGCUCGUAGGCGGCCAACUAAGUCAGACGUGAAAUCCCUCGGCUUAACCGGGGAACUGCAUCUGAUACUGGAUGGCUUGAGUUCGGGAGAGGGAUGCGGAAUUCCAGGUGUAGCGGUGAAAUGCGUAGAUAUCUGGAGGAACACCGGUGGCGAAGGCGGCAUCCUGGACCAAUUCUGACACUGAGGAGCGAAAGCCAGGGGAGCGAACGGG